rnacentral:rRNA from 1 species
GCAGUCGAGGGGUAACAGGGAAAGCUUGCUUUCCGCUGACGACCGGCGCACGGGUGCGUAACGCGUAUGCAACCUACCUUCAACUGGAGGAUAGCCCGGGGAAACUCGGAUUAAUACUCCAUAAUAAUUCAAAUUCGCAUGUUUUUGAAUUUAAAGUUCCGGCGGUUGAAGAUGGGCAUGCGUCCUAUUAGUUAGUUGGUGAGGUAACGGCUCACCAAGACUUCGAUAGGUAGGGGGCCUGAGAGGGUGAUCCCCCACACUGGUACUGAGACACGGACCAGACUCCUACGGGAGGCAGCAGUGAGGAAUAUUGCACAAUGGACGAAAGUCUGAUGCAGCCAUGCCGCGUGCAGGAUUGAGGCCCUAUGGGUUGUAAACUGCUUUUAUAAAGGAAGAAACCCCUGAACGUGUUCGGGGCUGACGGUACUUUAUGAAUAAGCACCGGCUAACUCCGUGCCAGCAGCCGCGGUAAUACGGAGGGUGCAAGCGUUAUCCGGAUUCAUUGGGUUUAAAGGGUGCGUAGGCGGAUUAUUAAGUCAGUGGUGAAAGCCUGCAGCUUAACUGUAGAAUUGCCAUUGAUACUGAUAGUCUUGAGUUUGGUUGAGGUAGGCGGAAUGAGGCAUGUAGCGGUGAAAUGCAUAGAUAUGCCUCAGAACACCAAUUGCGAAGGCAGCUUACUA